UACGAGAGCCCCAAGCGUUAUCCGGAAUCAUUGGGCGUAAAGGGUGCGUAGGUGGUUUGGUUAGUCUCCCGUUAAAGACUCGGGCUUAACUCGAGGAAAGCGGGGGAAACGGCCAGGCUAGAGUAUGUGAGGGGUGUGUGGAACUCAAAGUGUAGGGGUGAAAUCCGUUGAUAUUUUGGGGAACACCGAAAGCGAAGGCAGCACACUGGCACAUUACUGACACUGAGGCACGAAACCCUGGGUAGCGAAUGGG
rnacentral:misc_RNA from 1 species